GAAGGGAGAGAACCAGUAGGAAUUGGCUUCUAGAUUGGGCGGUGAAUAACACCUGUUAAGAUAGCUGGCCAUUUAUUUGCUAAGUGAGGUGAUGACCGAAUGAGAGGAGCUAAGAAAUUCAUUUGUGCUAGUUGGGCGGUGACCGAGAGGGAAGAAAGCCACAAUCUUUCCUUUUCCUUUGCUUACUAUGAACCGAGAGAGAAACACAAAAAGCCGCUACCAUUUCUCUUCCUACUCACCAAAAGCUGAGAUCCAUUCUUUCCCUGCAAUUUCUAAGCUUUAAUUAGGCAGCAAGGAAACACCGACUCAGUAGUUAGAACAUCGGGUAGGAGCAGAAAAUUGUUUCAGCCAAGAAACUGUGAGAAACUAGUACGUGUCAGUAGCCUUCCAUUUGACCGAGAGGAAGAGUAAAAGAAACAUAAUCUUUCUUUCUUCCUUAACCUAUUAAAACAGAAAAGAAACAACAAGAGAAUUAGGCACUUCCUUCGUCCCUUCAACCGUAAACGUCAACCAAGAAAACAAGGAAACUCUAGCUCAGUUAGCCACGGAUUCGAGAGGGAGAGAGAGCUGAACUUUCCAGUCCACAAACGUGAAGAAACCAGAGGUAGUUAACUACUUUUCUUCUUCAAUUUCCUGCUACUUCUAGUUAGUAAUGUUUUAGGUUGAGUUAUAACCAAGAAAAGAAUCAUCAAAGUCGGAAGUUUGUUUAAAGUUUCUGCAUGUUGUCCAAUAGAAAAGCUGCAAUUUUGGUUCUUUUUAAAAAAAAAAAAAGAAUUUGCUAGAUUAUCAGUAGAAUCCACGCUUUAUGCUCUGUAUAUUCUUAUUUGGUUACGCAUAUAAGUUCUGCGGUGAAAAACUUAACUCUUGUGGCUGGAAUUCUUGUUUGGAGGACUGCAUGGCUGCUGGAAAAUUUCCAACUUGCCCAUGAUGAAUUUUCUGGUUUAAAACUGGAAUUUGAUGAGAAGUUUUUGCUUGAUUUCAAACUUACAUAAUCUUAUUGCAAUGUUUAUGUGAAUGCAUGUCGAAUUUGGUUGAUAUUUGAUGCAUUAAAUGAAAUGUUAGUGAAGAUUUAUGGCCGAAAACUUCAACAUUGAACCUGAGAAUGCUGUUACGUUUUCUUAGACUUCGAUUUCAUCUUAUAACCUGAAAUUUAUGCAUAUAUUGAUCAAAUAACAUCCCUACUCCUCUGUUUUACUCUGUAUAUUGCGAUUGUCCUGAUUUGGGAGGAAAUAACUAAAUCUUAGGAAAGAAAUGAGAGCUGGUCAAGCAUGCGAAGCUGUUGGCAGAUUUGGGUUGAUUGGAUGAAUUCGAUUGUAAUACUGAGUUUUUCUGAAUUUUUUAGCUAAAUAUUAAUAAAAAAAAAACUAUCCAUAACUGAAUGAUAGUAAAAUGUACCUUGAAUUUGAGGAAGUUUAAAGAGGAAAAUAGCAAACAAAAGGAAAAAACUUGACUACCCAUUGCUGGAAAACUGUUUUGAACCAUUCUAAAAUAAGUGCUAAAAUUUUGAGUUUAACUUUGAAUUCUACAAUGGAACUUGAACCAAAACUAACCAAAACCUCCUCAAACUAUUUUAUAACAGUUUUACUUGUGAAAAUUCAUCCAAAAUAUAGGAUAAAAUCAAAGAAGUUCAUAGUAAUACUAAGUUGCCAAUCUCUAGAAAAUUUAUUAAUUUUGAAUUUUGAUUUCUAAAAUGACCUUUAGGACCUAGAUUCCAACUUUUAUAAGAAAAGAUAAGUACUAAGAUUACCUCAAAACAAAAGAAAUAAAAUCUUGGAUCAUACAUAUAGAUAUAUAUAUAUAUAUACACACACACUUUUAGCCAAUUGUGUCAUAUUAAGUUGAAUUUAGUUAAAAGAAUCAAGUAAGUCUAAACAGCUAGAAUAAUCACUUAAACCAUUAAUUUCACCAAGUAUUACAAUUCAACAUCACUUUAAGAAAAUUUUAACAAAUAAUCUAAUAAAUUUACAAAUAUCUCAGGAGUCGAGGGUGAAUCGGAUGAGAGACCGAGCACCGAGAAGUGAAUUUCAACUACUUUGGGUGAGUGUUUCCGAUUUUAUGUGUUCAACUGCUUAUGUGUACUUAAGUGAAAUUGUGUGACAAAUGUACUUAUUAUGAAAUAUUGUUAUGUGAUUCAUUGUAAAAUAUAUCUCAAUUGUCCCUCGCCUUCUAAGUCGAGGGUGUACUUUAUCGCACUCAACUUAGUUAAGCUUGAAGGUUGAUAAUUAAUCAAGUGAUAUUGUAAGUGUGCAUGACUGUAAGCCGUGUAUGUACUUUAUCACACUGGCCAAACUAGGCCCAGAACCCUCUGUUCAACGAACUAUUCGAGCCAGCAAAGGGCUUGGUCGAGUAGGAUGGUAACUUUGGGUAAGUGUUUCGAUAUGCUCGAGUAUUACCACGGAGUAGCAGAUUACUGAUAUUGAUAUGGCCAUCUAAAUGAGGGAAGUGUUUAUUGUUUUGAAGGGUAUAAUGAGGAGUUGAGUGGAGUGUGUAACAUCCUGAAUAUUAGGAGGUUGUUUGUGAAGAAAAUAUUAAAGUGUAUUUCUUUGGGUUUGAUUUAAAACCUAAUUUUGUUUUAAAAGAUUAGAAACCCUAAAAUUGUAGCCAAAAAACCCUAGUUUACUUUUGACUAACCGGUUUUCCUAAAUCUCUCCUAUUUUAAUUGAAACCCUAAUUUUAAUUACUGGAGUUGGAAAAUUCCUCACAUUUUCUUAAAAAUUUCCUUUUAGUUGAAAAUUUUCAUCUAUUAAAGCCCUACUAUCCAAUUAUUCCAUAAUAAGUGCAAAUGAAUCUAGAAAGUAGGGUUUUAUUCCUCGGUUUCAAGUUUGGAGCAAAAUUAGGGUUUUCGCGAUUUUCCGCCGGAUGAAUUUUCGAUACGGAGCAAGGACCAAAUUGGGUGAUUAAAAGUGACUUUUAAGUGAGAAAUAAUAUGUGAGUAGUAGCAAUGAUAUAAGGUUAGUGAAUGGGAAGUAAAAACACUAGUACGUGAGUUUUUAAGAAAAACGGCGCGAACCGGCGGGUCCCGCGCGCUACCGAUUGAACGCACCACUUGACCACCACUUUCUUACCCUACAAGCUCAUUGAUAAUUGAGCAAAAUAUCCUCUCACUACCAGAUAAGUCUGACCGAAAAUUGUGGCUCAAAGGCAAGGAAAGAAAGAGAAAAUUUUGUGGCCAAGAUUAGUCCAAGUGUUGGCAAAAAUUGUGGUCACAAUUAGCCCUAAUCUUCUUACUUCCUUAUAAGACAAACCAAGCUCCAUCUUCCUUCAUUUUUCUGCUAAGGAGCCGAGAGAGAGAGAGAGUAAGAACAAGAGAAAAUUUCUUCAUUUCACCUUCAAAUCCAACAACUUAGUGAGAAAAUAAACAAAGUAAACCGAUUAAACUUGUUCUUGAGUGACUAGGUGGUGAUUUGUGGUAAGUUUUUGGAAGGAGGAAGCUUGGGCUACUCUUUGUGUCCUCUAUUCAAGGUAAGAGAGCUUAUCUUUCUAAGUUUUGCUUUCAAUUUUGUUAAAUUAAGUUUAGUAGUUGAUUAUAGUGGUGGAAUCAUGGAUGAUUAGCAUGUUUUAGAAGUUUUUCCCCAAUUUAUUUGAUGAACUAGGGCUUGUGGAAAUUCUGCCCAAAUUUAUUGUAUGAUGCUUAUAUGUUGAAUUAAGAUUAUAAGAGAGGUUUUGGUAGUGUUUGAAGUGGGAAAUUAAGGAAAGUUCCACUAGAAACAAAAAAUUCCAGAUUUCUGGAAAUUCUUGCUUCCUUUCUGUCCGAAUUUGUAUCUGUGUGUUAGAGGCCGAAUUUGCCUUAGGUCAAAGAAGAAAAGUUGUAUAGAAUGACAUUUUAUAGGUGCCUACAAAAUUUCAGCUCAAUCGGAGCAACGUAGGAUGUGAAAAGUCCAAAAUACCCUUACUGUUUUAAAUAUUUCCCAGCAGUCCGUUUCAUCAGUUAAGUCCAGUUUAUCACGUUUUUUGACUAGGAUCCGUACUGAUUUAGCUCUGGGCCAAAACAUGAAAGUUGUAUUAUUCUUAAUUGGCUUUAAAAUGCAUCUAAAAACACCUAAUUCGGACUUGUGUACACUGAGUUAUGUUCAUUACAGUGUUCUGCGUUUAAACAGCCGACGAAUUGGUUUCUGGUUUAGUAAUUCGAGAAUUUGACUAAGUUACAUUAGGAACUGGACUAAGUGACCUUCAUGAAUAUUGUAGCUCUGUGUCUUAGCUUCGAAACGGCGUAGGUUUCGUUUUAAUCCGAUAAGCGUAGCCUCGGAUAUGUUAUUUCUGCUUUUGUACGUCAAAUCUGUUUUGAACUAAAUUGAAUUUCUGCACUUGUACUUAAUACGAUUCUUGUUAUUAUGAUAUUGUGAGCCUAUGGAACGGCUCUUGACAUGAAUUGCUGAUAUGUAUAAUGUUGGGUUGUGUUUGAGAAAAACAAUGAAGCCUAAAAGGCUGGAAAAUUAGGUAAACACAAAGGGCAUGCUGCCCGAAUUUUUACUCGAGGACUAGAAAACUAUAUUAGCGACUUGAGUGAAGGUUAAGUACUUAUUACUUGAACUAGCGAGAACCUUGGCCACUAUGUUUCUUGAGUGUUAUACGUUAGGACUUGGACGAACUUGUACCCUUGAGAAAUGAAAUAAUGAUUGCUCGAAGUAUGUUUUCCUUGUACUUUCAACUCGCAAGACAAUUUCAAGUAUAAAUAUUACAAAGUUUUACUGUUUAAAAAGGCGAGCAAGUGUUUCACGACUACUGUCCGAGUGAAUUUCAAUUUCUUGAUUCUUAUUGAACGAAACGUCUAAGUUUCGAACUCUAGUCAUGUUUCAAAGUUCUCAAAUUGAGUUUUAUCGCAGAUUUGGACUCCGAACUCGGAGUAUAACCUGAGAGUGACCAGUAAAAGCACUAUAUCUUUUGGUGAGUGCUUUCAAAUACUGAAUUGAACUUGAUACUUGUACUUGAUACGUGCCAAUAUGAUUACAUGCCAUAUGCGUGAAUUGUUAGGGCAAGAGUGUACUUUAUCGCACUUGCCCUUACAUGAUAUAUACUUGUUUAUUGUUGCAAUUGACUUGACAUACUUGUUAUGAUGCGCGCACUUCCUGGAAUUCCAGAAACCCUGUGGCAAGUUACUCUAGUCGAGCCGGCAGGGGCUUGGUCGGUUGGGUAACGAGCCCUGGGUCUCUUGCUUUGUCGAGUGGAGUGAUAUCUCCUCGACUAAUUGGUAUACUCGAGUAUUACCACCCGUGUUUAUUGAGGAUUUUGGGCCCAGUAGGGGGUGUGAAUGGUGGACGGAGAGUAGUGUAAGUGGUGUUCUACUGGAUUGGUUCCUUUACUUGAAAGUUGACGGAGUGUCAACUACUAUGUGAUCAAGCCCUGAUGAUGAAUGGAAGUUGGCUCCUGAGAGCCAUCCGUAUCCUUAUGCUUUGGAAUGAUUAUUGUUUAUUGGAUUAUUGUUUCUUCUGAAAACUUUUACACUCGCUCAUUUUGAGAUUGCUACUUGAAGUGUUAUUGCUCACUUUAUGAACUUUCAUGCUCGUUACUUUGCUAUAUCGAAAACUAGUACUUAUAAAUAAUGGUCAAUUUGCUAUUUGGAACCUCACUGGGCUUUUAGCUCACACCACGCUAUUUGUUUUCCUUACAGGGGUACGAGUGAGCGUGAGA
rnacentral:lncRNA from 1 species